rnacentral:rRNA from 1 species
GGUUAAGCGACUAAGCGUACACGGUGGAUGCCCUGGCAGUCAGAGGCGAUGAAGGACGUGCUAAUCUGCGAAAAGCGUCGGUAAGGUGAUAUGAACCGUUAUAACCGGCGAUGUCCGAAUGGGGAAACCCAGUGCAAUUCGUUGCACUAUCGUUAACUGAAUACAUAGGUUAACGAGGCGAACCGGGGGAACUGAAACAUCUAAGUACCCCGAGGAAAAGAAAUCAACCGAGAUUCCCCCAGUAGCGGCGAGCGAACGGGGAGCAGCCCAGAGUCUGAAUCAGCUUGUGUGUUAGUGGAACGGUCUGGAAAGUCCGACGGUACAGGGUGAUAGUCCCGUACACCAAAAUGCACAGGUUGUGAACUCGAAGAGUAGGGCGGGACACGUGGUAUCCUGUCUGAAUAUGGGGGGACCAUCCUCCAAGGCUAAAUACUCCUGACUGACCGAUAGUGAACCAGUACCGUGAGGGAAAGGCGAAAAGAACCCCGGCGAGGGGAGUGAAAAAGAACCUGAAACCGUGUACGUACAAGCAGUGGGAGCACCUUCGGGUGUGACUGCGUACCUUUUGUAUAAUGGGUCAGCGACUUAUAUUCUGUAGCAAGGUUAACCGUAUAGGGGAGCCGCAGGGAAACCGAGUCUUAACUGGGCGUUAAGUUGCAGGGUAUAGACCCGAAACCCGGUGAUCUAGCCAUGGGCAGGUUGAAGGUUGGGUAACACUAACUGGAGGACCGAACCGACUAAUGUUGAAAAAUUAGCGGAUGACUUGUGGCUGGGGGUGAAAGGCCAAUCAAACCGGGAGAUAGCUGGUUCUCCCCGAAAGCUAUUUAGGUAGCGCCUCGUGAAUUCAUCUUCGGGGGUAGAGCACUGUUUCGGCUAGGGGGUCAUCCCGACUUACCAACCCGAUGCAAACUACGAAUACCGAAGAAUGUUAUCACGGGAGACACACGGCGGGUGCUAACGUCCGUCGUGAAGAGGGAAACAACCCAGACCGCCAGCUAAGGUCCCAAAGUCAUGGUUAAGUGGGAAACGAUGUGGGAAGGCACAGACAGCCAGGAUGUUGGCUUAGAAGCAGCCAUCAUUUAAAGAAAGCGUAAUAGCUCACUGGUCGAGUCGGCCUGCGCGGAAGAUGUAACGGGGCUAAACCAUGCACCGAAGCUGCGGCAGCGACACUAUGUGUUGUUGGGUAGGGGAGCGUUCUGUAAGCCUGCGAAGGUGUGCUGUGAGGCAUGCUGGAGGUAUCAGAAGUGCGAAUGCUGACAUAAGUAACGAUAAAGCGGGUGAAAAGCCCGCUCGCCGGAAGACCAAGGGUUCCUGUCCAACGUUAAUCGGGGCAGGGUGAGUCGACCCCUAAGGCGAGGCCGAAAGGCGUAGUCGAUGGGAAACAGGUUAAUAUUCCUGUACUUGGUGUUACUGCGAAGGGGGGACGGAGAAGGCUAUGUUAGCCGGGCGACGGUUGUCCCGGUUUAAGCAUGUAGGCUGGUUAUCCAGGCAAAUCCGGAUAAUCAAGGCUGAGGUGUGAUGACGAGGCACUACGGUGCUGAAGUAACAAAUGCCCUGCUUCCAGGAAAAGCCUCUAAGCAUCAGGUAACAUCAAAUCGUACCCCAAACCGACACAGGUGGUCAGGUAGAGAAUACCAAGGCGCUUGAGAGAACUCGGGUGAAGGAACUAGGCAAAAUGGUGCCGUAACUUCGGGAGAAGGCACGCUGGUGUGUAGGUGAAGCCCCUGCGGGUGGAGCUGAGACCAGUCGAAGAUACCAGCUGGCUGCAACUGUUUAUUAAAAACACAGCACUGUGCAAACACGAAAGUGGACGUAUACGGUGUGACGCCUGCCCGGUGCCGGAAGGUUAAUUGAUGGGGUUAUCCGUAAGGAGAAGCUCUUGAUCGAAGCCCCGGUAAACGGCGGCCGUAACUAUAACGGUCCUAAGGUAGCGAAAUUCCUUGUCGGGUAAGUUCCGACCUGCACGAAUGGCGUAAUGAUGGCCAGGCUGUCUCCACCCGAGACUCAGUGAAAUUGAACUCGCUGUGAAGAUGCAGUGUACCCGCGGCAAGACGGAAAGACCCCGUGAACCUUUACUAUAGCUUGACACUGAACAUUGAGCCUUGAUGUGUAGGAUAGGUGGGAGGCUUUGAAGCGUGGACGCCAGUCUGCGUGGAGCCAACCUUGAAAUACCACCCUUUAAUGUUUGAUGUUCUAACGUUGGCCCCUUACCGGGGUUGCGGACAGUGUCUGGUGGGUAGUUUGACUGGGGCGGUCUCCUCCCAAAGCGUAACGGAGGAGCACGAAGGUUAGCUAAUCCUGGUCGGACAUCAGGAGGUUAGUGCAAUGGCAUAAGCUAGCUUGACUGCGAGCGUGACGGCGCGAGCAGGUGCGAAAGCAGGUCAUAGUGAUCCGGUGGUUCUGAAUGGAAGGGCCAUCGCUCAACGGAUAAAAGGUACUCCGGGGAUAACAGGCUGAUACCGCCCAAGAGUUCAUAUCGACGGCGGUGUUUGGCACCUCGAUGUCGGCUCAUCACAUCCUGGGGCUGAAGUAGGUCCCAAGGGUAUGGCUGUUCGCCAUUUAAAGUGGUACGCGAGCUGGGUUUAGAACGUCGUGAGACAGUUCGGUCCCUAUCUGCCGUGGGCGCUGGAGAAUUGAGGGGGGCUGCUCCUAGUACGAGAGGACCGGAGUGGACGCAUCACUGGUGUUCGGGUUGUCAUGCCAAUGGCACUGCCCGGUAGCUAAAUGCGGAAGAGAUAAGUGCUGAAAGCAUCUAAGCACGAAACUUGCCCCGAGAUGAGUUCUCCCUGAGACUUUAAGUCUCCUGAAGGAACGUUGAAGACGACGACGUUGAUAGGCCGGGUGUGUAAGCGCAGCGAUGCGUUGAGCUAACCGGUACUAAUGAACCGUGAGGCUUAACCUU